AUUUCAGUGCUCGGUGCUGAUAAGCUUCUGGCGGGUUCGUCAUGCAUGGCAUAAAAACUUGGUAAAGAAAUGUUUGGACGAUGAGAUGCGAGCUACAAUAUCGAGAAGGCUUCAUCAGGCAGUAGAUGACAUAUGUCAACGACGAGGAACAGAUGGUACUGCAGAUUUAGAAUUUGGGAGGUUUUGGUGUGAAACUAGGAACAUUGCGAGAAGAUGGUUCAUGGUUGUUCUUUAUAUUUGAGAAGUGCAAAAGUUUUUCCAUGUAAAUGUUGUUCAUUGCUUUUUGAUGCCUGUUUUGGUCCUUAUUUAUAGUUUACACAUUUUUGUUAAAUUGUACUUGGUUUGCUCUGUGGUGUGUUUUCAGGUUUGGUGUUUGAUGUUCUUCAUUUAAUUUUUUUCCAUUGUUUCUUGCUUUCAAGUCAAACUAAUUUUCUUUGUUCUAGGUGAUUAAAGCUUUGUUAUUUUCAUUUAUUUUGUGCUGCUAUAUCUUUGUGUUCUCUGUGUUUAAUUGUCUGGCUUUCUUUGUUUGGUUUUUCUUGUUCUGGGGAGCAGUGAGGUGUGUAGAGAGUAAAGCUAUAGAAUGGUGUGAGUUUCGAUUUGGGUGCUAGAAGAAGAAGAAGAAAGAGAUGAAUGAAGGAGAAUGGGAGUAAGGGCUCCCCGGUCUAACAACACAGCCAAAGCUAAAGCAAUAGCACUAAGGAUGAAGGCACUGCAAAUGAAAAGAGGUAAAAAAAAAAAACAGUGUCGAAACCAGCUGUUGAAGAGACUGAUGCACCACCUAAAUCUGCCUUCACCAAACAUGAUUAAUAGUAUGAGAUAUCAGUGUUUUUUGGGUUUCAUUUGUUGAUCAUGCCAACUGUGGUGGGUUAUUGAACUGAUGUUUAUUAAGUUUAGCUCCAUUAUGGAUGUAUGUAUAGCUGCA